rnacentral:rRNA from 1 species
UACGUAGGGGGCAAGCGUUGUCCGGAUUUAUUGGGCGUAAAGAGCGUGUAGGCGGUUAGGUAGGUCCGUUGUGAAAACUCGAGGCUCAACCUCGAGACGUCGGCGGAAACCAUCUGGCUAGAGUCCGGAAGAGGAGAGUGGAAUUCCUGGUGUAGCGGUGAAAUGCGCAGAUAUCAGGAAGAACACCCGUGGCGAAGGCGGCUCUCUGGGACGGUACUGACGCUGAGAGCGAAAGCGUGGGGAGGCGAAACAGG